rnacentral:lncRNA from 1 species
UCUGGCUCUCGAGAUUCGGAGAACGAUGCCUCUUCGAUUUUUGAGAAAGCAAUCAUGCUGGGGGUCUGGCUCUCGAGAUUCGGAGAGCAGUGUCUCUUCGAUUUUUGAGAAAGUAAUCAUGUUGGAAGUCUGGCUCUCGAGAUUCGGAGGGCGGUGCCUCUUCGAUUUUGGAGCAAGCAAUCUUGUUGGGAGUGUUGUCUCGAAUGUGAGUAAAGGUUGGGCAUGUUUGCUAGUCUACCUUGCCACGAAGCACAAAGGUUGACACACAGGGACUUUCCAAUUAUCCAGCAAUGGUACUGUUCCUUUACCCUCUCUUCGAUUUUGAGAAAGUAGUCAUGUUGGGAGUCUGGCUCUCGAGAUUCGGAGGAUGGUGCCUCUUCGAUUUUGGAGCAAGCAAUCUUGUUGGGAGUGUUUUCUCGAAUGUGAGUAAAGGUUGGGCAUGUUUGCUAGUCUACCUUGCCACGAAGCACAGAGGUUGACAAACAGGGACUUUCCAAUUAUCCAACAGUGGUACUGUUCCUUUACCCUUGCGGGUAAUAAUAUGGUAGCUAGACCUUCAAAAUUUAUGUGUCUAAACUUUGUUAGUGCUGUUUCUUUGCUAUUCUUUUACCUUUCUUGGUCAGAGCGAUGUAGUGGGAGCUGCAAACUUCACGUGCUCAACUUUGGCAGAGAACUUUGGCAAAGUUAUCUGUGGUACCCAUGAACUAUUGUUGUGUGUGGGAAGUGGGUGAUUGAACAGUAAGAUUCAUGUGCUUUCUACUUCACCAGAAGUCUUCGACAGAAUGCCCAUAAUUUCUGCAAAGCUGAGUGUGCGUGUGACAGGUGCUGACAAGGCUAGAAAAGUAGGUGCCUCUUCGAUUUCUGAGAUCGGCCCUCGUGGUCUCUGAGCAGCCCAGCUUUUGAGAAAGCGAGCGCCUCCUCGAUUGAUUCGGAGAACGAUGCCUCAUCGAUUUUUGAGAAAGCAAUCAUGUUGGGGGUCUAGCUCUCGAAGAUUCGGGGAGCAGUGUCUCUUCGAUUUUUGAGAAAGUAAUCAUGUUGAGAGUCUGGCUCUCGAGAUUCGGAGGGCGGUGCCUCUUCGAUUUUGGAGCAAGCAAUCUUGUUGGGAGUGUUUUCUCGAAUGUGAGUAAAGGUUGGGCAUGUUUGCUAGUCUACCUUGCCACGAAGCACAGAGGUUGACAAACAGGGACUUUCCAAUUAUCCAGCAAUGGUACUGUUCCUUUACCCUCUCUUCGAUUUUUAAGAAAGUAGUCAUGUUGGGAGUCUGGCUCUCGAGAUUCGGAGGACGGUGCCUCUUCGAUUUUGGAGCAAGCAAUCUUAUUGGGAGUGUUUUCUCGAAUGUGAGUAAAGGUUGGGCAUGUUUGCUAGUCUACCUUGCCACGAAGCACAGAGGUUGACACACAGGGACUUUCCAAUUAUCCAGCAGUGGUACUGUUCCUUUACCCUUGUGGGUAAUAAUAUGGUAGCUAGACCU